rnacentral:misc_RNA from 1 species
GAUGAAGAACGUAGCGAAAUGCGAUAAUUAAUGUGAAUUGCAGAAUUCAGUGAAUCAUCGAGUCUUUGAACGCACAUUGCGCCCCCUGGUAUUCCGGGGGGCAUGCCUGUCCGAGCGUCAUUGCUGCCCUCAAGCACGGCUUGUGUGUUGGGCCCCCGUCCCCGGUUUCCCCCGGGGACGGGCCCGAAAGGCAGCGGCGGCACCGCGUCCGGUCCUCGAGCGUAUGGGGCUUUGUCACCCGCUCUGUAGGCCCGGCCGGCGCCAGCCGACACCCAACUUUAUUUCUAAGGUUGACCUCGGAUCAGGUAGGGAUACCCGCUGAACUUAAGCAUAUCAAUAAGCGGAGGA